GACUCCUACGGGAGGCAGCAGUAUGGAAUCUUCGGCAAUGGACGAAAGUCUGACCGAGCAACGCCGCGUGAGUGAAGAAGGUUUUCGGAUCGUAAAACUCUGUUGUUAGAGAAGAACAAGGACGUUAGUAACUGAACGUCCCCUGACGGUAUCUAACCAGAAAGCCACGGCUAACUACGUGCCAGCAACCGCGGUAAUACGUAGGUGGCAAGCGUUGUCCGGAUUUAUUGGGCGUAAAGCGAGCGCAGGCGGUUUCUUAAGUCUGAUGUGAAAGCCCCCGGCUCAACCGGGGAGGGUCAUUGGAAACUGGGAGACUUGAGUGCACAAGAGGAGAGUGGAAUUCCAUGUGUAGCGGUGAAUGCGUAGAUAUAUGGAGGAACCCAGUGGCGAAGCGGCUCUCUGGUCUGAACUGACGCUGAGGCUCGAAGCGUGGGAGCAACAGGAUUAGAUACCUGGUAGUCCACGCCGUAACGAUGAGUGCUAGUGUUGGAGGGUUCCGCCUUCAUGCUGCAGCAAAGCAUUAAUCCUCCGCCGGGGGAGUAGACCGCAGGUUGAACUCAAGGAUUGACGGGGCCACACAACGGGGAGCUGUGGUUAAUUCAAUGACGCGAUAACCUUACAGGUCUGGAAUCCUUGACACUCUAGAAUUG
rnacentral:rRNA from 1 species